rnacentral:rRNA from 1 species
CUUUACAACCUUAUGCCAACAUCGCACUGGGCCAGUUUGGUAUUUGUAUGGGAGACCGCCAAGGAACACACAGGUGCUGCAGAAA